UUUAGUGACCUUUUUCCUUCAGUGUCCCCCUAGUAGAUCAAUGGUACAUGCAUCCCAAAAGGCACCCUAUUCCCUAACAUAGGACUCCGGCUCUGGUCAAAAGUAGUGCACUAUGUAGGGAAUAGGGUGAAUAGCAUCCCAUUGGAUGUUGCUUUUCUGAGGGAUAUGAUGUGGUUAGGAAAUGUCCCCAGCAUGUCUCAACUUGACUGUCAGGUAUACAGACUGUCUCUCCUUCUCAGUGGAAUCUGAAUGACUCUCCCCUCUACCACUACAUAGCCAGGUCUGUCUUAGUGAAAUAGGGCCAGGUCUAUCUUAGUGAAAUAGGGCCAGGUCUGUCUUAGUGAAAUAGGGCCAGGUCUAUCUUAGUGAAAUAGGGCCAGGUCGAUCUUAGUGAAAUAGGGCCAGGUCUGUCUUAGUGAAAUAGGGCCAGGUCUGUCUUAGUGAAAUAGAAAUUAUUCUGCCACUGUGUCCUCUCUGUUUAGGGUCAGUCACUGUGGUCAGGUAUUCUGCCACUGUGUCCUCUCUGUUUAGGGUCAGUCACAGUGGUCAGGUAUUCUGCCACUGUGCACUCUCUGUUUAGGGUCAGUCACUGUGGUCAGGUAUUCUGCCACUGUGUACUCUCUGUUUAGGGUCAGUCACUGUGGUCAGGUAUUCUGCCACUGUGUACUCUCUGUUUAGGGUCAGUCACUGUGGUCAGGUAUUCUGCCACUGUGUACUCUCUGUUUAGGGUCAGUCACAGUGGUCAGUUAUUCUGCCACUGUGUCGUCUCUGUUUAGGGUCAGUCACAGUGGUUAGGUAUUCUGCCACUGUGUACUCUCUGUUUAGGGUCAGUCACUGUGGUCAGGUAUUCUGCCACUGUGUCCUCUCUGUUUAGGGUCAGUCACAGUGGUCAGGUAUUCUGCCACUGUGUCCUCUCUGUUUAGGGUCAGUCACAGUGGUCAGGUAUUCUGCCACUGUGUCCUCUCUGUUUAGGGUCAGUCACAGUGGUCAGGUAUUCUGCCACUGUGUCCUCUCUGUUU